GUGCCAGCCGCCGCGGUAACACGUAGGGGGCGAGCGUUGUCCGGAAUUACUGGGCGUAAAGGGUGCGUAGGCGGCCUGAUAAGUCAAGUGUGAAAUACCCGGGCUCAACCUGGGUGGUGCACGUGAAACUGUCGGGCUUGAGUGCAGGAGAGGAAAGCGGAAUUCCUAGUGUAGCGGUGAAAUGCGUAGAUAUUAGGAGGAACACCAGUGGCGAAGGCGGCUUUCUGGACUGUAACUGACGCUGAGGCACGAAAGCGUGGGUAGCGAACAGGAUUAGAUACCCUGGUAGUCCACGCCGUAAACGAUGGAUACUAGGUGUAGGGAGGUAUCGACCCCUUCUGUGCCGUAGUUAACGCAAUAAGUAUCCCGCCUGGGGAGUACGGCCGCAAGGUUGAAACUCAAAUGAAUUGACGG
rnacentral:rRNA from 1 species